AGAGUUUGAUCAUGGCUCAGGAUGAACGCUAGCGGCAGGCUUAAUACAUGCAAGUCGAGGGGCAGCAUGACUGUAGCAAUACAGUUGAUGGCGACCGGCAAACGGGUGCGGAACACGUACAGAACCUUCCUUCGAGCGGGGAAUAGCCCAGAGAAAUUUGGAUUAAUACCCCAUAGCAUAACGGAGUGGCAUCACUUUGUUAUUAAAGAUUUAUCACUUGAAGAUGGCUGUGCGGCUGAUUAGGUAGUUGGCGGGGUAACGGCCCACCAAGCCUGCGAUCAGUAACUGGUGUGAGAGCACGACCAGUCACACGGGCACUGAGACACGGGCCCGACUCCUACGGGAGGCAGCAGUAAGGAAUAUUGGUCAAUGGACGAAAGUCUGAACCAGCCAUGCCGCGUGGAGGAUGAAGGUCCUCUGGAUUGUAAACUUCUUUUAUAUGGGACGAAAAAAGGCUUUUCUAAGUCGUCUGACGGUACCAUAUGAAUAAGCACCGGCUAACUCCGUGCCAGCAGCCGCGGUAAUACGGAGGGUGCAAGCGUUAUCCGGAUUCACUGGGUUUAAAGGGUGCGUAGGUGGGUUGGUAAGUCAGUGGUGAAAUCUCCGAGCUUAACUUGGAAACUGCCAUUGAUACUAUCAGUCUUGAAUAUUGUGGAGGUUAGCGGAAUAUGUCAUGUAGCGGUGAAAUGCUUAGAUAUGA
rnacentral:rRNA from 1 species